CUCAACCCCAUCGCCUCACAGCUUCUCCCCCUUCCCCAGGCGUUCUCCAUCCCCACGCCCCGUCACUCCUUUGUCCCAUCAAGUUCGGCCAUGAACCGCCGGAAAACUACAAUAUCCGGCGGUAUCUUGCUUUAUGUCUCCUCCAUCAUCCCUUUUCCAACAAAAAGAGACACUCUAUGCCGCCUAUACCUUAUCCUAACGGCUUCAAAAAUCUGAAAAGGUGAUAUUGAUUUGAUCUGUAGCAGCAGCCCUCUACUUUACAGUGAGUAUUUUGAUUUCAAAUUCGGAGUUUUGAGUUUGAUUUUCACCUAUAAAAGGAUGGUGUUUUCCCAUCCAAAAGAGGACCAACAACCAUAGAAAAAAAAACGGAUAGAAAGACAAUUCGGAAAUAAUCCAUGAACAUCCAAAACAAUCCAGAAAAAAUAAAAAAAAGGGUCCAAAAAACAGUUAAAACAUCCAAGAAUCAAUUGAAAAAAAAAGGGAUCCAACAACAAUCCAACAAGACUGUUUCAGUGUUCUUCGAGUUUGAAUUUCGAGUUCGAAGUCGAAAUCUUUUGACAUCAAAAGCAUUAGUUUGCUGCUCCAAGAAAGGUAAUUUC
rnacentral:lncRNA from 1 species